rnacentral:rRNA from 1 species
AGCAACAAAUGCCCUGCUUCCAGGAAAAGCCUCUAAGCAUCAGGUAACAUCAAAUCGUACCCCAAACCGACACAGGUGGUCAGGUAGAGAAUACCAAGGCGCUUGAGAGAACUCGGGUGAAGGAACUAGGCAAAAUGGUGCCGUAACUUCGGGAGAAGGCACGCUGACACGUAGGUGAAGUGAUUUACUCAUGGAGCUGAAGUCAGUCGAAGAUACCAGCUGGCUGCAACUGUUUAUUAAAAACACAGCACUGUGCAAACACGAAAGUGGACGUAUACGGUGUGACGCCUGCCCGGUGCCGGAAGGUUAAUUGAUGGGGUCAGCGCAAGCGAAGCUCCUGAUCGAAGCCCCGGUAAACGGCGGCCGUAACUAUAACGGUCCUAAGGUAGCGAAAUUCCUUGUCGGGUAAGUUCCGACCUGCACGAAUGGCGUAAUGAUGGCCAGGCUGUCUCCACCCGAGACUCAGUGAAAUUGAACUCGCUGUGAAGAUGCAGUGUACCCGCGGCAAGACGGAAAGACCCCGUGAACCUUUACUAUAGCUUGACACUGAACAUUGAGCCUUGAUGUGUAGGAUAGGUGGGAGGCUUUGAAGCGUGGACGCCAGUCUGCGUGGAGCCGACCUUGAAAUACCACCCUUUAAUGUUUGAUGUUCUAACGUGGACCCGUAAUCCGGGUUGCGGACAGUGUCUGGUGGGUAGUUUGACUGGGGCGGUCUCCUCCUAAAGAGUAACGGAGGAGCACGAAGGUUGGCUAAUCCUGGUCGGACAUCAGGAGGUUAGUGCAAUGGCAUAAGCCAGCUUGACUGCGAGCGUGACGGCGCGAGCAGGUGCGAAAGCAGGUCAUAGUGAUCCGGUGGUUCUGAAUGGAAGGGCCAUCGCUCAACGGAUAAAAGGUACUCCGGGGAUAACAGGCUGAUACCGCCCAAGAGUUCAUAUCGACGGCGGUGUUUGGCACCUCGAUGUCGGCUCAUCACAUCCUGGGGCUGAAGUAGGUCCCAAGGGUAUGGCUGUUCGCCAUUUAAAGUGGUACGCGAGCUGGGUUUAGAACGUCGUGAGACAGUUCGGUCCCUAUCUGCCGUGGGCGCUGGAGAACUGAGGGGGGCUGCUCCUAGUACGAGAGGACCGGAGUGGACGCAUCACUGGUGUUCGGGUUGUCAUGCCAAUGGCACUGCCCGGUAGCUAAAUGCGGAAGAGAUAAGUGCUGAAAGCAUCUAAGCACGAAACUUGCCCCGAGAUGAGUUCUCCCUGAGACUUUAGGUCUCCUGAAGGAACGUUGAAGACGACGACGUUGAUAGGCCGGGUGUGUAAGCGCAGCGAUGCGUUGAGCUAACCGGUACUAAUGAACCGUGAGGCUUAACCUUACAACGCCGAAG